UACGGAGGAUGCGAGCGUUAUCCGGAUUUAUUGGGUUUAAAGGGUGCGUAGGCGGGAUGCCAAGUCAGCGGUAAAAAUGCGGUGCUCAACGCCGUCGAGCCGUUGAAACUGGCGUUCUUGAGUGGGCGAGAAGUAUGCGGAAUGCGCGGUGUAGCGGUGAAAUGCAUAGAUAUCGCGCAGAACUCCGAUUGCGAAGGCAGCGUACCGGCGCCAGACUGACGCUGAGGCACGAAAGCGUGGGGAUCGAACAGG
rnacentral:rRNA from 1 species